UCCCCCUGUCUGUAGAAGUUGUCAAAAAAAUUCACAGUGUAAUUUGUUGUUUUGUCGUGACUCUCUUCUUUUAAAUGUUUUCUAACAAUAUUCUAGCAAAUUAACACUCUAGCCACUGUGUACACAUUCUCCACUAACCACUGAUCACUCGUCACGUGUGCUUCUGGCCAGGAAUCCGCCAUGAACGGACUGAGCUUCAGCGAACUGUGCUGCCUGUUCUGCUGUCCGCCCUUUCCGGGCCGGAUAGCCGCCAAAUUGGCCUUCCUGCCCCCUGAGCCCACGUACAAGUUUGUCCCUUGUGACGAAUCUAGCACAAAGUACAGGAUCCAGUAUCUGGACAGGGCAGAAUGGCAAUUUGGGGAGAGGGAUAAGGAGAGUGUUGAGAGUUUUUUUACACGCACCUCCCGGGGUAAUCUCAUUCCGUGCAUCUUCAUCAAAUGCUGCUCAAAUGCCAAGUACACUUUGCUCUUCUCGCACGGAAAUGCCGUGGAUUUGGGUCAGAUGAGCAGUUUCUACAUGGGCCUGGGCACACGCAUCAACUGCAACAUCUUCAGCUACGACUAUUCGGGGUAUGGCAUCAGUGCUGGACGACCCAGUGAGAAGAAUCUCUAUGCAGACAUUGAAGCUGCCUGGCAUGCUCUCAGGAAUCGCUAUGGGAUCAGUCCAGAGAAUGUCAUCCUCUAUGGCCAGAGCAUUGGCACUGUGCCCACUAUUGACAUCGCCACGAGGUACGAAGUGGGUGCAGUGAUCCUCCAUUCGCCUCUCAUGUCCGGGAUGCGCGUAGCAUUCCCAAAUACCAAGCGCACAUGGUUCUUCGAUGUCUUCCCCAGCAUCGACAAAGUGUCCAAGGUACAGUCACCGGUGCUGGUAAUUCAUGGGACUGAGGAUGAGGUGAUUGACUUCUCGCAUGGGCUGGGCAUCUACGAGAAGUGCGCCAAGGCAGUGGAGCCCCUUUGGGUGGAAGGUGCUGGGCAUAAUGAUGUGGAAUUGUACAAUCAAUACCUCGAUCGACUGAAGAAAUUUGUAUCGGUGGAGUUAGCCAACUGACAAUCACUCCUAGCUCCUGGCCAUGGCGCCAGGAGCCCAAAGACUGCCGCCAAAGCCACCGAAAAUGCAGCUGAUGACGUCAACAAUUCGAGUGUAAGUUCCGUGACAACGAGUUCGGUGAAUGAGAAGCUUCUCUAGCAUCCGGGGCCCGGCUCCAGUGGGGCGCCUUCGUGUCAUCAGCACGCGAAGGCGGCCGUCCGGAGCCAGCUCCUGUCCAAAAAGUCCCCAAAGUCUCCUAAGCAGUUCUGUCUCUGUGGCGAUAAGAGUGUCGCUGCUAAGCUCUCCAAUCAGCCGGCUAAUCUUCCUCCACCGCCGCCGCCGGCCAAAAUGCCACCAUCCAGUGAAAAACCAGCUAAAUGCACAUGUUUGCACAAGCGCCAAUCCCUCGUGGAUUCGGUGUCUCCCAGUAAAGUCAACAGCGAGAAGAGACAAAGUGUCCCAUCGCCCUAUCACCAGGCAAUGCUCACGGAGGUUUCUUCGCCUUCCGGAGCGGCUAAGUGCACGUGUUCUGUGGGCCAGAAGAGUGGAAGGAGUCGUCCAGCACCGCUGAAGAAGGAUAUGGCUACGAGUCCCAAUCUGGCUCCCAAGAGUCCUACGAUAAAGGUUUCUUCGGAGGAGGAUGAGAAGGUCGUGGAGAUUCUGUCGCCGGAGAUGCCAAUAGCACUGCCAAGUCCACGAGCCGAUAGAGCUACGAGGAAUGCUGCCACAAGUCCCAGACUCGAAAUUAAGCACAAAUCUAGCCCAUUGAGGGAUAAUCCCAAUCGAAUUCUCGAGAAGAGUAACAGUUUGAGCGAGAAGAAGCCACAGAGGGUUCUCCGGAACACCAGGAGUUUGUCCCCAAGGCCUCCGGUGAAGCAUCAGCAUGCGAUAACGGUGUCUGAUGAGAAUGAUGUUGUGUCUGUGAAAUUGUCGCCAAAUGAUGAAUUUGUGGAGGAAGAAGCAAAGAAACUAGGGACUCCGUCGCCAAAGAAGAAAUCUCGAAGUGAACAUGCGUCGCCAAAUUUGUCAGAUUGCGGAGGAUUGAUGUAUGAGGAUCGUUUCACUAACAAUAGAUCCACCGGGUGCCUGGUUUAUGUGCCAUCGGAUCCCUGGUUGAGGAUUUCAGAUGAAGAGGAUGCAGCCGACACGAUGAGGAAGAAGAAGAAGAAGGAUGGCAAAAGAGUAGAAAAAUCGCACAGUAGGCCAAAUAUUGCAGUGGAAAGUGAUGAUCCGUGGGUGUGGAAGGGUCCAGGAGGAGAUUCCAAGGCGAGGAAGAAUGCCUAUCGUCAGUCGAAGUCACUGCAAUCGACAGCAGGAGAAUAUUCUUCCCUCAAGCUCAUUCCACGAAAGGAAACACCUGCCAGGCCAAAGCUUCAGCGUUCAAAGUCUCCUGUAAUCCUUGGGGAUCUGGAGGAAGUUGCUCCGGCACAAAAAGCUCAAACACUCUCAGUGGCCAAUCAUUUUUUGCCCAGGCAUAGUUUUUCAACGUCUCCGACGCAGCGAGAUGAUGAACUGCAGCUCAAUAUUCGACGGCUCAGUGAACAGAUUAGACACUCUACUGCCUACGAUGGUGACAGACGACGAGCAGCAUCGCCACUUCCGCCACCGCCGCCACCACCUCCCGUGGAUCCUCUGCUCGAGACGACCUGCUGAGGAGACUUCACAUGACUCUUAAAAGGUAACAUUGUCGACGGAUUGCAUUUAAGAUAACUAGAAAUAUUAGGUUUAUUGACAAUUUUCCUCCCUAAAAAAAAAAAAAAAAUUGAACUGAAUGCCUUUCAGCUGGAAAGGAUUGUGUAUAAAAUUGCGUUUAGUUAGGUCUCUUGGAAUAAAAAUGUGUGUUCCUGUU